rnacentral:rRNA from 1 species
UCCGAGUUGUAAUUUGUAGAGGAUGUUUUGGGUACCGCCCCGGUUUAAAUUUCUUGGAACAGAAUGUCAAAGAGGGUGAGAAUCCCGUCUUGGACCGGUGGUAGGGCCUGUGUAAAACUCCUUCGACGAGUCGAGUUGUUUGGGAAUGCAGCUCAAAAUGGGUGGUAAAUUUCAUCUAAAGCUAAAUAUUGGCCAGAGACCGAUAGCGCACAAGUAGAGUGAUCGAAAGAUGAAAAGAACUUUGAAAAGAGAGUUAAACAGUAUGUGAAAUUGUUGAAAGGGAAGCGCUUGCAACCAGACUUGAGCGCGACGGUUCCCCUAGCCUUUUGGCUAGGCUACUCCGUCGUGUCCAGGCCAACAUCGGUUCUGAGGGUCGGUCAAAGGCCCCGGGAAUGUACCUACCCACGGGUAGACUUAUAGACCGGGGUGUCAUGCGGCCUCUCGGGACCGAGGAACGCGCUUCGGCUCGGAUGUUGGCGUAAUGGUUGUCAGCGACCCGUCUUGAAACACGGACCAAGGAGUCUAACAUCUAUGCGAGUGUUUGGGUGUCAAACCCGGAACGCGGAAUGAAAGUGAACGGAGGUAGGAAGCUUCGGCUGCACUAUCGACCGAUCCUGAAGUUUACGGAUGGAUUUGAGUAAGAGCAUAGCUGUUGGGACCCGAAAGAUGGUGAACUAUGCCUGAAUAGGGUGAAGCCAGAGGAAACUCUGGUGGAGGCUCGCAGCGGUUCUGACGUGCAAAUCGAUCGUCAAAUUUGGGUAUAGGG